GUCGCGUUACAUCCUCUACGCUGUUCUUGGCUCGAGCUCGCCUCCCGUGCAUGGAAGUGUGAGGAGUGCAUGGCGCCCUCAGCUGGCUCGCUUGUUGCUGGGACCUGGACCUGGACCUGCUCCUCCUGAUGAAUUACAUAUUUCAGCAGAACUUCGGAUUGAUAGAACAUGUGGAUGUCCUUCAGUGAAAAGAGGAAAAAGACCAGAUGGGGCCAAAUGACCUGGCAGAUCUGCCUCAUUUCAUGGGCUGCCUUCUACAAGAAUAUGGCCAAUAGAGGUGCAGCCUUCAGAGAACAGGACAGGACAGGACCAGACAAAAACCGAUGACAAGCUCAAAAAGAAACACCUUGUAAAUCCACUGUCGUCACAUUUUUCUCAACUGGACAAGUGGCCGGAUCAGGAAACACAUCUGCUUAAGCGCUGCCUUCACACUGGGCAAGGUGCAAAUCCAGGAUGUGAACCUCUGCCCUGCAGCCGAACAAAACAUCACUGUCAUAUCUCACCCGUUUUAUCUAUCACUCGUCUCUUGCCUUUUUAUUUCUCACAUGCCCUAAGUACUAGUACAAGCCUGCUGCCAGUCUUGGCUUUGUUGUCUUCGCCCUUCCUCAUAGAUCUUUAGAGUGCAGAAUCAAUUUAGGAUAAGAGUUCUCUAGCGCUGGCUGAUGGGCAUGGGGAAGAUGGUCAGACAAGUAUAGUUCAAAGCCGACAAGCUGUGUCUGGAUACGCAUUAGAGCUCAUUCAUUGCUUUCUAUGUCACCUUGCCCUAGGAUAGAGGGAGAAAAAGAGAGGGAAAUAUUCAUUACUGGAUGAGCAUCAAGAAGAAAUGGAGCAGGAAAUAGGAAUGGGUGAUAGAGGCAGUACAUAGCCUGCACACUCCUGUAAGAUAUAUUUGUUUUAUUUGUGACUAACAAGCAUUUAUGUCAUUUUGUUAUGCUUACAGGCCUUCUUUUGAUGUUUUUAAACCAGGGAACUGUAUCAGUUCACUGAUUAGCUACCAUACAGCUUUUGCUGUUAUGUGUUGGUCAAAACAACAACAAUCAUAUUUUGAUUGUGAGCUCUGCAUGACAGAACAGUGAAAUUAGUCUGAGGGCAUGGAUGUGUGCAAAACAGUUGGUGCAGGAAGCUUUGUGACGCAGACUUGUGUUCUCGCCAGACAACUUAUCACAACCCCCGUAACGGAAACGUAUUGUUCUGAUGACUGACUGCAGAACAUGCUGGAUAUCUUUUUGUGGAGCAGUUUGUAUGAAACUGGAAGGUACAGCACGGCUUAAUAUGAAUGCUUCGUCCAUUUUAGACUCUGGUUCUUUCCAUUUCCUAAAGGUCAGCACUGUCGAGGCGCUGUUUGCACUGUUUACAAUUCAUCAGCAGCAGAUUUGCAUGUCAAAGGUCACUAAAUCUUAACUGUAUGCAAAAACUUGCUUCAACACGAAAAUCCAUCGAAAUGAAUUCAUUUCAGUUACAAAUGCUGAUAUGACCAAACUGUGUUUUUCAGCAUUGGCACUGAUAUAAUAUAGAGACAUAAAGGCUCUGCUUGUCUCUCGGUUUCCUGAGGAAGUGCUUCAAAGCAGGUAUUACUGCAGCUGUAUCAAAAAUGUAAUACAUGGAAAAGGAUUCUGCAGGAUUACUUAUAAUCUAAAUGAAAUGUUUAAGGAAUAGGACUGCUUCACAUUGUUAACCUAGCACUGCACAGUAAUAAAACAUAAAGAACUGACAGUUAUAAUAAUGAGCUAGAAAAUAUUGGAUAGAUACUUAAAGUGAACUUAUACGUACUGCUGCCAAUCUUCAUGAAACACAAGUUAAUAACAGUUUUAAUUAACUAAAUAUUAUCUGUGUACUCAAAGAGUAGAUUGUCAAAUGUCCAGGUCAGUUGUAGUAGUGUUAAUGACUAAAUGAAUGAGGGAAAAAAGCCUAAUAGUUCUGAUCAUGCACUCAAAGCAGAUGAAUUAUGUGACUGGAUAGAUAAAUGAUUUGCCAAUAAAACAGAAAAUUUUUAUUGACAUAUUUCUUAUGUGUAGAUGUUGCAGAUGUACACGUGACAACUUGGUCACCUUGUAUUUGGAAACAGGGACAGUGGCUGUGCUGUGCUGAGCUGUCCUGAGCUGUGCUGUGCUGUGCUGUGCUGUGCUGUGCUGUGCUGUGCUGUGCUGUGCCUGUCCAAUGUGUUGUGUUGGCUCAGGUCCAUAUUGGCAUACCUCCUGGUGGCUGUGACAGCUGCCAGCACUGCUGCCCAUAGGGGUACGUGAUAUGUGAUGUGGACUUCAACAAAGCAUAAGGCCACAUAUCAAUCUUCUCAUAUUGUGAUAAAGUCCCAGAGCACAUCUCCCCUACGGAACACUUUUGUUUGGCAUAUCACAGCUACAAAUUAUACUGGAAAGGCUAUGCUAAUUCACUGGCAAUUAAAAACAAAUGAAAGAAAUGUGAUGCAGUAGAUUUGAUUUUCAGACUGAUGGCUGUAUAACUAAACAUGUUUAGAUGAAAUGAGUUAUAGAAGGCCUGCAAUGAACUGGUUAAGUGUGUUUAUUUGCCUUUCCUGAAUGCAUGCUGGGAUAGAUCCUGAUCAGGAAUAAGAAUGUAUAAAAAAUUGACGGAUAAAUGGAUCACAGAAUAUUAAAAGAUUGAGUGUGUGACAAUCUUGUAUCAAUCUGUGAAAUAAUGAACUAUUCAUACGUCUGUCUAAGGCUUUAUAAUAUAUUGUCAAAAUAUUGGAGAACAUGUUGAAAGCAUAUUCCCUGCCUGGGAUCCUUCUCAGGCUUGUUUAUUCCUAAAUAGAUUGGGUACAAAGGCAGGAAACAUUCUUGAUAGGUCAACCCAUCACAGAGCUAACACAGAAACACAACUCAUUGUACAUUUACACUAUAAAUAACUUCAACCAGUCACAGACACUUUUUUCUAAUGUCUAAUAUUUAGUACACAACAUGGAGCAAGGCGACUGUGGAAAUGUGGCAAAAAGGUUUGUAAUUUGUCCCAACUGAUGAGAAUAUCAUGAAUAGUGUUUCUACCAAAUUAUAAGUGACGACGAUCACAUUUCUUAUUUUUUUCUAAACUUUUACCUGAAAAGAAUAUUUCAAUUAGCAUAUCAACAAUGUUGUCCCAGAAUAGCUGUAUCCAUCAUAUGAAUAUUAAGUAAACGUGAGUCUAUCGUUUGUUUUUUCCUGUUUAAUUUCAAGUGAUUGUGUAUAAUUAGCCCAUGCCACCAAAUCUUUGUACUCUUUGGAAAUUGGAAAUUACUAUGGCCCUAAUAUUUAAAUCAUGCAUGUGAUUAUAUAAUAGGGAAAGUAAAUACAAAUUCUAUUCGGUUACACAGUUACAAUGUGUUUGUAGCCUGCAAUGUGACUGCAAUUUAGGUUGCGUUGUUGCUUUUCCCUCAUUGUGUCUGACAGCAGAACAGAAGCGGGCCAUAUGUGGGUCAAAAGGUGACCAACAGUAGUCAAAAAUCUUUCCCAACAUCCUUUGCGUGUGUAAGGCAGCUGUCAGAACCACUGGGCCUCUCCACAAGCAUCCACACCUUCACUAUGUAAAAGUUUUCUGUUUAAAAUGUGAGUAAUUGUAGCGGAGUGGCUGCAUCUGCCCCUCAUCCCUCAGAAUAAGCACCAAGCAGAAGCACUUUCUGACACAUAUGGAGUAAGCUUCACUUCGGAUCCGAGUUCACUGAGUCAGGAGGAUAUUUCUAGGUCAGUGAAACAGACAAGGAGUAGUAUACAUUUCAUAUGUACUGUAGAUUUCACCCCUCUCUCAGAGAGAGCGAGGAUGUGUUAUGCUUUAUUUAGCUAGGUUAUCUGUCAGCUCAUUGGAGCAAUCCUUGUGUUUCAUCAUGUUUCAUCUCUUAUUCAUGACCAAAACCAACAUGCCAGUGUUUAAUCUUUAAUUCUGUAAAUAAGGAAUUCAGAAUGAAGUCUAUUUUUAACAGAGGAAACAUGUAUGACGAUGGAUUUCCCGUGGGGAGAGUAUUCUUUCCCCAUAAAUAUAAAACAAAUAAGACUAAUUUAUUGUAUUUAAUGACAGGAGACAUGCAAUUAUUCUUCUCAACAUGUCACAUUGACGAUAAGAGCUCUUUUUAAAAAAAAUGUUUUAAUAUUUCAGAAUGCAGAACUUUUUCUUACAGCUGCAUCAACACAUUAUACAUUCAAACCCUGCAGAUGGAAGUACAUUUUAUAGUGAAUAUGUAUAAGAUGCUCACGCAGAGACUGGUUCAGAAAUCAGAAGCAUGUGGAUUACUUGUUUUUAUCUAGAGCCAAACCACUGGACACAUCAGCCUGUCAUCACUGACUUCUGUCAGUACCACACUAACCAUAAUUAAUCCAUGCAGAGGCAUGAUUAUUCUGAUUACCAGACCUGUGUUAUAUAUGGAAACAUGAGAGAGAAGGAGGGAGAGGAGCAGAGCUGUCGUGUGAACAGGUUUUACUGAGCUACACUGCCCUCAUCAGGAAUCCACAGCAAAGAGAGGUUUGGUCUUCAGUCUGCGAGCAGUGUUCAAAGUAUGUCAUCUGAUCCUUAGAGCUUGUCAGACCACUUUGUGUGAGGUGGUUUGUUCAGGACAACAGACUUGUCAUGUGUUUAGAAGGGGUAGCAGGAAGUGUUUCUUAAUACUGUGCUUAAACAUGUGGCCUAUUCCAGUUUUGUCCAGUUGCUAACACACUGAGAUGACAUGGAUAGCACAAAUAUUUAAACUGAC